CUUAACCACGAGCAAUUCUACAGUGACUUCAAACACUCUCCAUGCCUCUAUGUUUUUUCCAACCAAUUGAGUUUUGAGAUGCCCAAUUUGUAUCUAAACUCCAGUAGUUUAUGUUCCAUUAUUUCUUGAUGUUUUUAAUAUUGAUUCCUCUUUUUAUCUCAGACGUCGUUGGAUGUAUUGUAAAUUUCACAAAUCGAAAGAAUCGCAGAAAUAUUCCUCAAUGCGAACUGAGCUCAACGGGGGGAACUUGAGAACAGCAUUAAGGAGUCCCUCGAAUUCAGAAGGAAUUUAUUUGGUUGAUCCUCUAACAUAACAAACUCAGGCAAGACUAAGCAGCCAUUGAAGCUAUUGUCCGUGGAGGGGCUAAAAAA